rnacentral:pre_miRNA from 1 species
UCACCUCCCCAGGCUGCCAGCUCCCAGGCUGGGCUGGGUGAGUGUCUCGUCGAAAGGCUUACACUCAAGCAAGACUGGGAGC